rnacentral:rRNA from 1 species
CUGCAGCUCAAGUGGUGACCGCUAUUAUUGGGCCUAAAACGUUCGUAGCCGGUUUGGUAAAUGCCUGGGUAAAUCGUGUAGCUUAACUAUACGAAUUCCGGGUAGACUGCCAAACUUGAGACCGGGAGAAGCUAGAGGUACUCCUGGGGUAGAGGUGAAAUUCUGUAAUCCUGGGGGGACCACCAGUGGCGAAGGCGUCUAGCUAGAACGGGUCUGACGGUGAGGGACGAAGCCCUGGGGCGCAAACCGGAUUAGAUACCCGAGUAGUCC